rnacentral:lncRNA from 1 species
UAUGUUCGUAUGUUGAAACUAGAACCAUUAUAUACCUACAGAUGUAUACACGCACACAAACACACCCACAGGGCGCGGGUGUUCGCACAAAGACAAUCCUACAUACAUUCCUGCUUACGAGAACUACUAGAAAUUUUAGAAGUUAAUGUAUAAUGCAAUUAUAAUCAAUACCAUAACAUGACGGGAACUCAUUUUCUCGACUCCAGAAUAAAUGAAUACGUGUCCGCGGCGAACUUCUUUUUAAAAAGUUAAAGGGACAUAAAUAGAACGUACGGGAAAUUGUUUCCCCUUGGAUAAACGCUGUAUCAAAUGAACAUCUAAGUAUUUCUUGCAUAACAAAAUUUAAUCGCUCGCAUAGCGAUGUACGAGGAACUACAUUUCAAUAUCAAUUAACGAGGAAACAUCUGUCAUAUUUUGUUCUAGAAUUGACAUUAUUAUUCUCGUAUUUAUAAUGAUUUGGAAAAAUAUAUCGUACUCACGUGAAUUAUAUCAGUUGGAGAUAUCGAGCACGACUGAUUAGCAAUUAUUUCGAUUACUAUUUACCUUUGGUCAUUAGUAAUUAUAAACCUAGUUACGACAGAGUUGCUACAGAAUCCAUAAGUCAAUAUUAAUACUGAUUAGAAAAAAAACUGGCCAAUUUCUAGAAUUGUUUUUACUAUUUUUCUUGAGUCAUAAAUUCAAAAGCAUAAUUUUAGUAUGUAUGUAUGUAUGUAUGUAUGUAUGUAUGUAUGUAUGUAUGUAUGUAUGUAUGUAUUUAUGUAUGUCAGGUCACUUUCGAGAGCUACUGGUAACAUGUAACCCAGUACAACCUGUUGCAUGGUCGGGUCGUUGGCGACUAAACCGGCAACCCCACCAAGCUUGCUUGGUGAGGAGGGUGUUUAUUGGACACCCUGCGGGAUGAAAAACAAAACCCGUCAAAGGGCGGAGGAACUCUUGAGAGUCAACGGCCAUUCAAUAAAUGUCUUAAGGCUGGAUCAUGCGCGAGGACAUAGAAAUAAUCGGACUGAAUACCCGAUCGCGCGAUUAAACCAUUGGGAGUGAAGGACUCCUAGCCUUUGUUAGGGCAUCCUUCUAGGAGAAGGUAACUCAGGUAACUGGGAUGACUCCGACAUAAGACCUGCGGCUCAGUGGUUACCAAUGAUGUUGACUUGUUCUUCUUUUCAGAUUAUGUCCGCUGUUGCUUAGUGAGUGGGAUUGACUCAGUGCACAGCCUUUACUCACUUUUAAAAAAAUCUUCUUGCACAGCAUUGCACGAUAACAACAUUGAUUAAGCUUCGUGCAAUGGCCAUACUCGAUAACGAGGGGGCAGCCACCAUGUAUGUAUGUAUGUAUGUAUGUAUGUAUGUAUGUAUGUAUGUAUGUAUGUAUGUAUGUAUGCAUAUAUGUAUGUAUGUAUGUAUGUAUGUAUGUAUGUAUGUAUGUAUGUAUGUAUGUAUGUAUGUAUGUAUGUAUGCAUGCAUGUAUGUAUGUAUACAUUUAGUUGGACAGAAUAUCUUACGAUUCCGUACUGUUACUGUUUAUCUCUUGCUCAGAGAUUUAAUAUAAAUUUUCUCUCUUUUUACUAGAUCAGCGGGAGUGUGUCACCCAACAUCGCUUGACAACCGAUGCUGGUGUGUUUAAGUCCCUGUAACUUAGCGGUUCGGCAAAAGAGACCGAUAGAAUAAGUACUAGGCUUACAAAGAAUAAAGGUCCUGGGGUCGAUUUCUUCGACUAAAGGCGGUCCUCCGGCAUAUUAUAUAUAUAUAUAUAUAUAUAUAUAUAUAUAUAUGAAAGCACCAAUUCAAUUCAAAGAUCAGAUUUUGAAGUGGUUGCAUGUUGAAGAACAACUAGAGGAAAAGACUGAAAAGAAUAGUUAUUUCUUAAUUCGGAUUAAUGAGUUCAACAUUGUAGGCAAUUACAGUACGCUUCUCUUAGUGUACAUUGUUUUAAUGACUCUAAAUUGUAACAUAUAGAAUAUUUGUAAAAUGCUUUGAAACUAAAUAAUACUACUGUGACAUUUACUUUUCUUGCUUUAAGUUUUUGGCUUGAUGAAAAUAAAGGAAGUUCCAUGAAAUUUUUUUAUCAAUUUCACCUAAUGGUUUGAAGGCAUACAGGUCUUGUAGCAUAUCUGAAAACAGUGUGUUCCGAAGUGAUAGCAAUGUACUGCAUUGUUUUUUAGAAGAAAAAAAAUGUUGCAUUAUUUUACUUUUUGUUCAUGAUGAUGAUGAUGAUGAUGAUGAUAGGAACGAUAAUGAUGAAAGUGAAAUGAUAGAAACGAUAAUGGUGAUGAAAAUAUUGAUGGUAACAAUAACUAUAAUGAUGGUGGCAGAUGAUGAUGAUGAUGAUGAUGAUGAUGAUGAAUGAAAAUGAUGAUGAUUAUGAUGUAAAGAAAAUCAGAAAGAUGAUAUUAAUCUAAAUAUAUGGUGAUGAAACUGAUGACGUUGAUAUGAGCAAUAAAGAUAAUGAGAAGAAUGAUAAAAACGAUAAUGAUGAUGAUGAUGAUGAUGAUGAUGAUAAUGACGGUAAUGAUGACGUUUUUAUCUUUUUAUUUUUAUCUUUUAAUAGGUUUCAAAAAAUUGUUAGAAAAACGAAAACGAAAGACAGGAGGAUAUUAAUCUGGUACGUUACCACACAUCAAACCAGUCGAUACAUCCCGAUAUUGAAACUACACCGAACGGAUUAAUUGAAAAAAUAAAUCAUUGAAUCAAUUUAACUGUUUGUUUAUGUACAAUAUACAUAAAAUGAGAAUUACUACAGCCAUCACACUAGCACUUUUGCUAGUUGUUAUUCACCCAAUCAAACUGUCGUUGGCGGCCCAUACUCCAUGUAAAGCGUGUAAAAUAAAUGAUGAACUCUUAUUGCAGAAAUCCUGGGUUUGUGGUGAAUGUGGUUCCUUAUACAAGAACACUGCAAUAGAGUACUGUUGCUUUUGCGACCAGGAAUACUACGACAAAUGUCUCAUCGCCUCGGGUAUCGAUAAGGACAGAGACACUAAUCUUAACCCGCACUAACAUUUCUGAACGAUCUCCUUGUUUUUUUCUGUUGGCGGAUUUGCAGAAUUGUUAAAGCAAAGAUUAAAAUAACUCGUUGUAUUUACUUCUCUUUACGUUCUGAGUUCACAUCCUGCUAAAGUCAACUUUGUUUUCCAUCCUUCCCAGAAGCACUAGUAAAAGACUGGGAUCAAUACAUUUUAAAGAUACUCAUCUCUCCAAAUUAUUAUUAUUACUACUACUACUACUACUACUACUACUACUACUACUACUACUACUACUACUAAGGCGGCGAGUUGGCAGAAUCUUUAGCAUGGCGGGCAAAAUGCUUCACGGCAUUUCGUCCGUCUUUACGUUCAGAGUUCAAAUUCUGCCGAAAUCGACUUUGCCUUUCAUCCUUCGAAAUCGAUAAAAUAACUAUCAGUUGAGCACUGAGGUCAAUGGAAUUGACUUGCUGGCCUUGUGCCAAAAUUAUUAUUAUUAUUGUUGUUGAUGUUGUUGUUGUUGUUGUUGUUGUUGAUGUCGUUGUUGUAAUCGCUAUCGUUGUCGUUGAUUUCAUUUGACAAAAUACAAAUCUAAGGUCUUGUAGCAAAGGAACACAGUCAAGUCAAUUGAUUUCAAUAAAAUUUCAUGAAAGUUUUUUUUAUAAACCCUGUUAUCAAUGAAAAAAAAAUGUCAGUUCUGUUAGUAAUUUGAACCUUGAUUGUAGAAGGGCAAAAUUAAAAUGUCGUAUGAUCAUUUAGUCCAUUGUUCUAAUUUUUAUGCCAACCCUCCAAUCGCUAUUAUUACUACUGAUGUUAUCCUCUACCAGCUAUUUCGCGCCAUUUACUUUUUGGCAAUUUGCGGAGUAAAAGUUAGAUGGACACUUUUACGAGAUAUUUCCCUUCGUUAAUAAAGUUAAAUCUAUCUUAUGUAUGUAUAUAUAUAUAUAUAUAUAUAUAUAUAUAUAUAUAUAUAUAUAAUUGUAUGUAAGUGUAUACAUGCAUAUAUACAUAUAUAUACAUGCUUACAUACACACACGUACAUAUGCAUAUACAUACAUACAUACAUAAUAUAUAUAUAUAUAUAUAUAUAAAGUUGAAAUUUAUAGAAAAUGAUAGUUAAAAUUUAUAGAAAAACAAAGCACGAAGACAGGUGUAUGAAUAACAAACAAGUGCAUUAGUUUGACGCUGGGGAAAAUGGAAAAGCGUUUUACGUUUCGAGCCAUAGCUCUUCAACAGAAAGGAAUAAGAGAAAAUAGAGAUUUCAGCGGUCCAACAUGAUGAAUAUAUAUAUAUAUAUAUAUAUAUAUGACACACACACACACACACACACAUAUAUGAUACACAGAUAUGAAAUAUACGAUGUAUGUAAGAUUUACUUGUAAAUUACAGAACCCCUCCCCUCUCAGUUCUGUGAUCUCCAAGUUUUAUUUCAACUAGCAGCGAAUUACGUUGUGUUGUUAUUGUUGUUGCUAUUAUCAUCGUUGUUGUUGGUGUUGUUAUUAUUAUUAUUAUUAUCAUUAUUAUUAUUAUCAUUAUUAUUAUUAUUAUUAUUAUCAUCGUCGUCGUUGUCAUCAUCAUCAUCAUCUUCAUCAUCAUCGUAAUCAUCAGGAUCAGGAUCAUCAUCAGGGCAGUGGGCUGGCAGAAUCGUUAGAGCGUUGGAGAAAAUGCUUUGCGGUAUUUGUCCCAACUCUCCAUUUCGAAUUCAAAUCCCUUCGAGGUCAACUUUGUCUGUCGACCUUUGACCUUUUCGAGUUCGAUAGCAAAAGGUACGAGUAAAAUACAUGGGUCGAUGUAAUAAAACCUCAUCUGCUCCCUUCCCUCCCCAAGAAAAAAAUGUUUAGGUUUUCUGCUAAAAAUAGCAUGAAAUAUUGCUUUCAAAUUUUGGUACGAAACCAACAAUUUCUCGAGAGUGGGGAAAAUCGGUUUCAUCGACCCCAGUGCUCUUUUAUCGAUCCCGAAAGGGAUGAAUGGCAAAGUCGACCUCUGUGAAAUUUGAACUCAGAAAGUAAUGACAGACGAAAUGCCGCUAAGAAUUUUACCCAGCCUUAUUCUGCCAGCUCACAGCCUUCGAGUAGAAAGAAAUAUUGUAAAUGUGAUAUAGUGGCAGAAACGGUAGAGAGCUGGAGCAAUGAAGAAAAAAAUUCACUGUUACUCCCCUUUAUAUUCUCGGUUCAAACCACACUGAAGGGAACUUUGCCGUUCAUACUUCGCUCAUUCCACCUUCCCCCACCCGGAGUUAAUAAAAUACAUACCGAGCAUAUACAGGGAUCAGUUAAUCGAUUAAAAAAAAGCAAAACAUUACCUACAAAAGAUGCUAUGGUUUUGCAUAUGUAUGAUAACUCAAUGUUUAAAUGUCAAAAUUUAUAAAAUAAUAAUGAUAGUAAUAAUAAAGUUAUAUGUAAUUCCAUCUCCACACGUACAUGAAAAAAUCUAUUUAAAGAUGAAUAUUUAAUGAAAAAAACACAAAGAUAAAAAUAUAAAAAUAUGAAAAAAUGCUUAAAAAAUAUAUUUAAUGCAAAAUAAAAUAAUGCCAAAUAAUAUUUAUUCUUC